UGGCAAUGAGGAUAUCCUUUUGAAAUGAAUCUCAGUGAUUUGUUCUAUACGCUAUUCUGAGCCACUU